AUUCAACCAAAGCACUUUCCUUAGAAGCUUCAUCCCUUGCUGAAUUUUAGCGGCGAUUGGUCGUUGCUGUUGCCCUAGGAUAAUGGAAUAAGUUUUGUCGGUGCACAUCAUAAAAUUAAAAGAAAUUGUUCAACGACCAGUCAAGAAAUUUAUGUUGUUCAAUCAUGAAUAAUUAAGCAUGUAUUCCUUAAUUUUUAAAAUCCUUUGUAUAGAAAGAAUUCAUCUUCCGACAUUUUCGCUGGAGUUGUUUUGUUGUUCUGAUCCCUCGAAAAAUACUUUUCUUGGGAAAGAAAUCCUCAUAUCACGAAUUUCGAGGGGAAAUAAAAAGUGGGAAUGUAGCAACAUUAAAAUCAGCUGUUUGACGUUUUAGCACUUUGUUUUCCCUUCCAUACUAAAUUUGCAUUUAUAUAACUUUUAUUGAUUUUUACGGUUAAGUGUGAAGUGUUCAAAAUAAUUAAAGUAUUUAAAAAAAGAAAAUGAACAGCAUUGCAAUACGCAUUUAUUUGGAGAAGGAGCAUUAAAAAAAAAAAUACUAUCGAGUAAACAAGCCAGCACUAAUUUAUUUGUUGGAAGUGGUCUCCAAAAACUACCCACAGAAGAAAAAAUAAUUUGGAAUUUUUCCAAUAAUAAUGCUAAGCGCUGCAUUGCGUUUCUUCGCAGAAGGAGGGUAUAAGAUGGGCAUUGGAAAGGACUGCGACAUCGGGCUUGCACAAUCUACUCUAUGCAAGUUUCUUGGUAAAUAUACUUGAGGCUCACUUGUGUGCAAAAUGGAUCCGAGUACCGAAGACUAUCGAGAGAAACUGACUAUUGCUUUGGAAUUCUACAAAAAACAUAGAAUUUCUGGUGUUGUUGGGUGCAUUGAUGGGACCCACGUGCAAAUUAUUGCGCCAACCGACAACAAGCAUCUUUUCUAUAAUAGAAAGUUCAGCAUGAAUGUACUACUAUGACCAUGAACUUUAAAUACGAUAUGUCCACGCUUCACAUCCUGGGGCUUGCCACGAGUCCUUCGUGUGGAACACGAGCUAUUUAAGAAUAUUUUUGUGAAGAAGAAUACUUACAGGGCGAAACUAACUUUUGGCUGCUAGGUGAUGGAUACCCUCUUGAGCCUUGGCUUCUUUCACAAGAAAUGACAUUCAACAGCGUUCAUACAAAGUGUCGGAACAUUGUUGAAACAACUAUCGGAGUUUAAAAGAAUCCUUUCCUGCACUUUCUCCUAAAAGUCAUAUUCGCCUUGUUUCACUAUUAUGCUCAUAUGAAACUUCACUUACGCUCAUAUGAAACUUCACGCUCUCGUUGAGAUCACGCGCAAAGACAAAGUCUCGUUUCUUAGAAACUCACACACUUUACAAUUAAACCAAUCAAAAUACAUGAACACCCUCCACCAUUCUAUAGAGAGUAUAUUAGCUUUGUUAUCCUGUUUUAUACUGCUCAUAAUGGACCUCACAAAUAUGCUGCUGUUAUCACGACACUUGUGCUAAGCUACAAGUCACUCCCAUAGCCGAAUGUAACAACUGAAGCUUGAGUUCGCUGGUCUGAUGUUUGUGUAUCAGCGAGACAGUAGGGUGGUUCGACUAAACGGUGUUAACUCCUCCCUUGCUCAUCAAUGAUAACUUGAAGUUCAUGCUGGCGGCGAGCCUUCUGACGUCUCUGAUAACGUUUGAGGAAGGUAUAAUAAGUGAACAUGAAGGCUAUUAGUAGUUCUUCAGUGUCACCAUUAUAUCGCAAGUUCUGCAAGCUUAAUGCUAGGAACACAAUUGGAGCGAACGACGAAUUUCGCCCUACGCGGCGACAAAAUGAGCCGCGAAAAUUCGUCGUAUGGAACACAAUACCGACGAAAUUAUAAAACAGCUGAUGAAGUUGUUUACUUUUUGCUCAUUUGUUGACUUCAAUGAAAAUUAUACAAGAACUCAUAAUUUAUAAUUUCAGUUAUGUCCAUCUUCUCUAUUAUAAAUUCACUGAUAUCCAUCUUCACUCAGGCGCAAGUGCACAAAUAAAUAAACAAAUUAUUUAUGUUUUUUUAUACGAAUAACAGAUAGUAGAGUGACCAUAACAAAUUUUUAAGUAAAAAGUAACUUUAUUUA